rnacentral:misc_RNA from 1 species
CUCCACUUUCUAUGGCUGAACUUUUUCCUCUCGUCUUUUUACCUCCUAAAAGUGAAAAUUGCAAUCCACUUUUCUUAAAAAUCAUCGCUGCUACUACACUUUUGACUUGUUUUCAUUUUUUUGGUUCCUUUUUGUAUUUUCAUGAGCUAUAGCUUUUUGUCAUUCCUAAGUCCAAAACUAAAAACUAUUAUUGUCAAAAUGAGG